rfam:Aspergillus rambellii strain SRRC1468 contig00199, whole genome shotgun sequence.
GGCCUGCUGGCUCAAUGGUAGAGCAUUGCUCUCCUACCUUCCCAUUCCGGAAAGGAGUACAGGCAAAGGUUGGGGGUUCGAGUCCCCCGUGGGUCG